AUUGAACGCUGGCGGCAGGCCUAACACAUGCCAGUCGAGCGGAUGAAGGGAGCUUGCUCCUGGAUUCAGCGGCGGACGGGUGAGUAAUGCCUAGGAAUCUGCCUGGUAGUGGGGGAUAACGUCCGGAAACGGGCGCUAAUACCGCAUACGUCCUGAGGGAGAAAGUGGGGGAUCUUCGGACCUCACGCUAUCAGAUGAGCCUAGGUCGGAUUAGCUAGUUGGUGGGGUAAAGGCCUACCAAGGCGACGAUCCGUAACUGGUCUGAGAGGAUGAUCAGUCACACUGGAACUGAGACACGGUCCAGACUCCUACGGGAGGCAGCAGUGGGGAAUAUUGGACAAUGCGAAAGCCUGAUCCAGCCAUGCCGCGUGUGUGAAGAAGGUCUUCGGAUUGUAAAGCACUUUAAGUUGGGAGGAAGGGCAGUAAGUUAAUACCUUGCUGUUUUGACGUUACCAACAGAAUAAGCACCGGCUAACUUCGUG
rnacentral:rRNA from 1 species